rnacentral:misc_RNA from 1 species
AAGCAAGUUUAAAUUGUUUUCAUAAGAGAACAUGACCACAAUAACUUUUAUUUGGACUUCUUUUCCAACUACUAAAACUCAUGUCAGUAUCCAUUUACUUAUAUUUGAUACACAAAUGUGUUGAAGGAAAUUUUUGAAGGGCUGGGCCUGGUCAAUGAACUAGGCCCAGCCUUCUUGGCCAAGUCAGUGAGUUUUUUAGAUACAUGACAAAUGUGUCGAAGGCCAAGCAAAGCAUUGAUACACAUGGCCAAUAUGCAUUUGAAAGACGUGCCGUAGCAAUGGAAAUUGCCAAGGUGAGGAGGUAGCCACAGGGGCAGAGGAAAAGGAAGCAGGUGCUAAAUGUUCUUAUAUAUAUGUAUACUUUUGAAAAAAUUUAAUUUUAGUUAUUGGCCCUAUGCAAAAUAAUUUAUAUUAUCUUAUCAUAACUUAGGUAACAUAAAAUACUCAACUCAACU